UGGGCCGCGGCGCGCCGGGAAGGCGGAAGCGGCUCCCGGGCCCCGAGUGCCGGCACCGGGGGUCCGGGGGGGCCAUGGCCGGGGCCGGCUGGGCCCCGCCGCGCCUCGACGAGUUCAUCCUCACCGAGCGCCUCGGCUCCGGCACCUACGCCACCGUCUACAAGGCCUACAGGAAGAGGGACACGCGUGAGGUGGUGGCCAUCAAGUGUGUGAACAAGAGGAGCCUGAACCGGACAUCGGUGGAGAAUCUGCUGACAGAGAUCGAGAUCCUCAAGACCAUCCGCCAUCCCAACAUUGUGGAGCUCAAGGACUUCCAGUGGGACAGUGACCACAUCUACCUGAUCAUGGAGUUCUGCGCCGGGGGGGACCUCUCCCGCUUCAUCCGGAUGCGCCGGCUCCUCCCCGAGAAGGUGGCACGCAUCUUCCUGCAGCAGCUCGCCUGCGCCCUGAAGUUCCUCCACGACCACAACAUCUCCCACCUGGACCUGAAGCCACAGAACAUCCUCCUGAGUGCCCUGGAGAACCCCCAGCUGAAGCUGGCAGAUUUCGGCUUUGCUCAGUACAUGUCCCCGUGGGACGAGCAGCACGUGCUGCGGGGCUCCCCGCUCUACAUGGCCCCCGAGAUGGUGUGUCGGCAGCAGUACGACGCCCGCGUGGACCUGUGGUCGGUGGGCGUCAUCCUCUACGGUGGGUUUGGCUUUUUUUCCCCCGGGGGGGUCUGCCCAGGGCUGGUUUCCCCCUCUCCACCUCCCCCCACCACUCCUUUUUCCCACACAGAAGCGCUUUUUGGAAAGCCGCCCUUCGCUUCCCGCUCCUUCGCUGAGCUGGAGGAGAAGAUCCGCAGCGAGCGGGCUGUGGAGCUUCCCAGCCGGCCCCAGCUCUCUCUGGAAUGCCGGGAUCUCUUGGGACAGCUCCUGGAGAGGGACCCUCUGAAGCGCAUCUCCUUCGAGCGCUUCUUUGCCCACCCCUUCGUGGACAUGGAGCACGUCCCCGGCCCCGAGAGCCUCAGCAAGGCGACCAACCUGGUGGUGGAGGCGGUGAGGAAGGAUCAGGAGGGAGAUGCCAACGCCGCCCUCUCCCUCUACUGCAAAGCCCUGGAGUAUUUCGUGCCAGCACUGCACUAUGAAAGCGAUGCGCGACGCAAAGAAGCCAUCCGGGCCAAGGUGGGGCAGUACAUCUCCCGAGCAGAGGAGCUGAAGGUGUUGGUCACCUCCAGCAACAAGAACCUCCUGGAGAAAGGAAACCCGGCCAGAGAGCUCCUGAAAGAGAUGGCCAAGGACAAGCCUCGGCUCUGCGCGGCGCUGGAAGUGGCUUCAGCUGCCGUCGCCAAGGAGGAGGAAGGCAGGGAUGACAGUGACGCCCUGGAGCUGUACCAGCAGAGCCUAGGGGAGCUGCUGCUGCUCCUGGCCGCGGAGCCGGCGGGGCGGCGGCGGGAGCUGCUCCAUGCGGAGAUCCAGACCCUGAUGGCCCGAGCCGAGUACCUGAAGGAUCAGAUCAAGAUGCGGGAGGCACAAUCCAUGGGCAAGGAGGCGCUGGCAGAGUCCAUCCGGAGCGCCUGUACCUUGCAGUGAUUCCCAGUGGGGAGCCGCCCAGCCGGACGCUGCUCACCGCCCUGCCAGGAGAUGCCGGCGCAAAGACGAGGCUUCCGUCCCCCCACCAGGGUGACACCUCGGGGGUCACCCUCGGGCUCCCAGCCCCGGCGGGUCCGCGGGGCCAUCUGCCCUUCUCCCAGGUGCUGGCUCAUUUCGCUGCCAGCCCUGCCUCGACCGUCUGCUGCCGCAGCCUCCCCUGCCACAGCAGGCGGGUUAUUCCACUCUAAUUCCCUCCGCUGGCUGCCGCGGGAAGGGUAUUUUUAUCCUGGCACUGGGCUCUGGCAGGAUAUCCCCCCUGCUUUUUCAGCUGGGUGCUGCUUCCACCUCGCAAGUUCUGGGGGAGCCUGCAGGGCCCAGGGCCAUGAAUCCGGCCGGGAGCUGAGGGUGGACAGGGAUGCUCCGCUGUGCCUUCCUCGCCCAGCAUCUACCUCUGCAUCCACCGCUGCUUGUCCAGCCUCCAGCAGCCCACUGUCCCAGCCCCACCAUAGCUCCCUCCCUCUCACUGCUGGAGCACUGGGAAUGAGGCUUUUCCUUCCUAAACCUGGAGGUAUGGACUGCGUCACCAGUGUCAUGAGCGUGGGCAGUGCUCAGCGGGGACUGAUGAGUCGGACACGAGCAGCAAUCAAUCACCUUCAGGGAGACACUGUCGGCAUCCUGCCUGCUCUGCUCCACUCCUCAGGGCUCUGACAACCCCAGCAUCCAAGUCAUGUUCCCAGGGUCACUUGUCCGGGGUGCUGAGGUUGCCUGUCCUGCAAAACAAGCCUAAGAGGGGUCCCCAGGCAAGCCCAGGACCCAGAGCCAGCCCGACGUCCUGGAGCCAUUGAGGAGGGCUGGGAACCCUCGUCCGUGUUCCCCCAAGAGCAGAGCCGGGGUGUCCCCUCCUCUGCUCCAGCCGUGCCCUCCCUUCCUGUGCUCCCCAGGGACACGAGGCAGCCAAAGCAAGCACCUUCCAGCAGCCAGUGAGGGCUUCCUUGGACAAACCUGUCCCAAUCCUGGCCCCAUAGUCUGCAUGUUGAUGCCCGGAGCAGCUGUAUGGCGUGGAGGCAGUCACUAUGCUCGGGGUACAGCAGCAGGAACCGCUGGAAACCGGGAUGCAUCCCUUGGUGGGCAGGGAAAAGGCAGGAGGGGGCUGCCUGCCCCUGCUCCCCCCGUCCCAGCCUCUCAUUCCUCCAUCCCAACCUCUCCUCCCUCCAUCCCAGCUUCUUCUCCCCGCUCCGGGCAGCGAUCCAGCGAUGGGAGCAGGGAUGCAGGCUCGGAGGAGCAUCCUCGGAGCUGCCGAUGCUGUGCCGGGAACGCUGUGCCGGGAACGCUUUGCUGAGGCUUAACACAUCGCGCGGAGCCGGGCGGGGGGAGCGCACGCUGCCUGGCUUUUCACAUGCCUGGGGGUCAUGGUGCCUCCUAAAAUAAACCCGCUGAGCUUCA